CACCGAUGGCGAAGGCAGGUCUCUGGGCAUUAACUGACGCUGAGGAGCGAAAGCAUGGGGAGCGAACAGGAUUAGAUACCCUGGUAGUCCAUGCCGUAAACGUUGGGCACUAGGUGUGGGGGACAUUCCACGUUUUCCGCGCCGUAGCUAACGCAUUAAGUGCCCCGCCUGGGGAGUACGGCCGCAAGGCUAAAACUCAAAGGAAUUGACGGGGGCCCGCACAAGCGGCGGAGCAUGCGGAUUAAUUCGAUGCAACGCGAAGAACCUUACCAAGGCUUGACAUGAACCGGAAACACCUGGAAACAGGUGCCCCGCUUGCGGUCGGUUUACAGGUGGUGCAUGGUUGUCGUCAGCUCGUGUCGUGAGAUGUUGGGUUAAGUCCCGCAACGAGCGCAACCCUCGUUCUAUGUUGCCAGCACGUGAUGGUGGGGACUCAUAGGAGACUGCCGGGGUCAACUCGGAGGAAGGUGGGGACGACGUCAAAUCAUCAUGCCCCUUAUGUCUUGGGCUUCACGCAUGCUACAAUGGCCGGUACAAAGGGUUGCGAUACUGUGAGGUGGAGCUAAUCCCAAAAAGCCGGUCUCAGUUCGGAUUGGGGUCUGCAACUCGACCCCAUGAAGUCGGAGUCGCUAGUAAUCGCAGAUCAGCAACGCUGCGGUGAAUACGUUCCCGGGCCUUGUACACACCGCCCGUCAAGUCACGAAAGUUGGUAACACCCGAAGCCGGUGGCCUAACCCCUUGUGGGAGGGAGCUGUCGAAGGUGGGACUGGCGAUUGGGACUAAGUCGUAACAAGGUAGCC
rnacentral:rRNA from 1 species